UAUUUGGAGUCUGCACAACUUGCUGCUG
rnacentral:misc_RNA from 1 species